GACGAACGCUGGCGGCGUGCUUAACACAUGCAAGUCGAGCGGUAAGGCCCCUUCGGGGGUACACGAGCGGCGAACGGGUGAGUAACACGUGAGCAAUCUGCCCAUCACAUCGGGAUAACUCCGGGAAACCGAAGCUAAUACCGAAUACGACCACCUCCGGCAUCGGAUGGUGGUGGAAAGUUCCGGCGGUGAUGGAUGAGCUCGCGGCCUAUCAGCUUGUUGGUGGGGUAACGGCCCACCAAGGCUUCGACGGGUAGCCGGCCUGAGGGGGUGACCGGCCACACUGGGACUGAGACACGGCCCAGACUCCUACGGGAGGCAGCAGUGGGGAAUAUUGGACAAUGGGCGAAAGCCUGAUCCAGCAACGCCGCGUGAGGGAUGACGGCCUUCGGGUUGUAAACCUCUUUCAGCAGGGACGAAGCGCAAGUGACGGUACCUGCAGAAGAAGCACCGGCCAACUACGUG
rnacentral:rRNA from 1 species